UGCAUGUGUGUGAGUAAGGAGCAGAAGGACAGAAGAUUAAUAAAAAUGUAAUUAAAGCAGAAAUAAAGCAUGAAGGAACGUUAUACCGUUCAUUGUGGUCAAAAAAGACGAUUAUAUGACAGGCCCAGUUGUUCCGAGGCUUCUGUUCUUUCUGUUGCUAAUUAUGCUAUAAAGAGGAAGGAAGUCUUUCAAUGUUGUUCAGUUUCUGUUGAGCUCACUGCAUGAACUGGCACCACAGAGUAAAGAACAACAGAGUGAGAGAGGAGAGGACAAACCAUGACAUUAAGAUCAGCAGCAAGAGGAUUUCUAGCUUUCCUUCUAUCAGUACCAGCGCUUCAGGGUAUUCAAUGGACGGUUACUUACUCAUCUAGUAAUGUCUGCGCUUUAAGAAAAUCAACUGUUGACAUCAACUGCACUUAUGAAUACCCUGACAACGUUCUGUACCGCCCUACCAAAGUCUAUACACUGUGGUUUACUAAAGUAUCCAACGAUCAGCCCGUUGAUCUGCGAGGGGAUGCAGACUAUACAGGUCGUGUUGAAUCCAGCUGUGGAGAGGUCAGCUGUAAUGGGUCCAGAUGUCAUGGAACAUGUACCCUGAGAAUCAAAGACCUGAGAGAGAGCGACUUUGCUGUCUACGAGUUUAGAUUCACAACAAACCAACCACGUGGGGAAUAUACUGUUGACCCUGGAGUGACAUUAUUUGUAUCAGAUCUCCAGGUGAAGGUGUCCUUUCCUGACCCUACCGAUCCUACCAGGGCAGAGCUGGAGUGUCACAGUAGGUGUGGUCUAGCUGGGAACCAUCUCUACACCUGGUUCAGGAAUGGAGAGAAUGUAGGACAGGGAGUGAACUCCUGGGUCCAACCUCAGUCUGGAGCCAGCUAUUCAUGUGCUGUUGAAGGACACAAUCUCAGCUCUCCUUUAGUGUACGCUCCAAAGACCCCCUCAGUGACCGUGAGUCCCUCUGGUGAAAUAGAGGAGGGCAGUUCAGUGACUCUGAGCUGCAGCAGUGAUGCCAACCCAGCA